GACGAACGCUGGCGGCGUGCUUAACACAUGCAAGUCGAACGGAAAGGCCCUGCUUUUGUGGGGUGCUCGAGUGGCGAACGGGUGAGUAACACGUGAGUAACCUGCCCUUGACUUUGGGAUAACUUCAGGAAACUGGGGCUAUUACCGGAUAGGAGCUCCUGCUCCAUGUGGGGGGUUGGAAAGUUUCGGCGGUGGGGGCUGGACUCGAGGCUUAUCAGCUUGUUGGUGGGGUAGGGGCUUACCAAGCCUUUGACGGGUAGCCGGCCUGGGAGGGGUACCGGCCACAUGGGGACUGAGAGACGGCCCAGACUCCAACGGGAGGCAGCAGUGGGGAAUAUUGCACAAUGGGCGGAAGCCUGAGGCAGCAACGCCGCGUGCGGGAUGACGGCCUUCGGGUUGUAAACCGCUUUCGCCUGUGACGAAGCGUGAGUGACGGUAAUGGGUAAAGAAGCACCGGCUAACUACGUG
rnacentral:rRNA from 1 species